CCGUGCAAUCUGCUGCUUUCUAUUCCCGAAGGACAGCUCAGUUUUGCUUUCGUUUUGUUUCUCCCAAUUUCUUCUGCCCUGUUUUACCCUCCCAACCCGAAAGCCACCUCCACCCUCUCUCCCUCCCAACAUCAAACAGAACCGCCCCUUACAUUUUCCUUCUUCUGUCCCGUCAAAUUUUCUGCUUGUUUAUUGUUUAAGCUCCAGGAAAAUCGAAGAGGCCUUAUCAUUUUCGAGUUAGAACUAGGGCUCUGACAAGGUUUUUGAUCUCAAAAUUUUGACAAGGUUGCCUGUCUCAAGAUUUCCUUGAUCUCCAUCCUUUCUGGAUAAAGCCAAUCCCAAGUGAAAAUCUGCCUCCUGGUUUUGAUCCCGUUGAAGGUUGCAAGCUUAAUUCUUUGCCUCUAGAAGAUAAUUAUAUCAGGUGUUUCAGAAUCAAAUAUUUCUUCUCAAGCUUCUCGAGGAACCAAAAGGAAAUGGGUUCCAGAAGAAGAUGCAGCAUUGGUUUCCUGCAUGGUGGACUUGCACAAUGUUGGAACAUUUAAUGCUGAUACCGGGUUCAAAGCUGGUUAUUUAAACGAGUUGGAAAAAAUGCUAGAAAAGGCUUCACCCAAUGCAAUGUUGAAGGCUAGACCUAAUAUUGAAUCGAGGAUUAGGUUACUAAAAAGGGAUUAGUCAAUCGUGUAUGACAUGCUUAAUGGCCAAAACAAUAGCGGUUUUGGUUGGGACGAGCAUAGGCAGCUCGUUGUUGCUGAAGAUGCGGUUUGAGACUCUUAUUUAAAUAGUCAUAAAGAAGCCGGUCAAUUCAGACAUCGUAGUUUCCCUUACUACGACCAACUUACUGCUAUAUAUGCAAGAGAUCGAGCGACUGGGAAAGAUGCUCAAACAGCCGCUGAUGUUAUUGAAGAAAUAAAUGUUCAGGAUGUACAUACUGCGGAUAUUAAUGAAGAAAGAAACGAAUUCUAUGACUGCGAAGCUGAUGUCUCUUUGGAUGAGAUGGAUGUUUCUGCUACGGAGCCGCAAACAGAUAGAAACCAAGGGGGUUCCUCAUCUUCAAAGAAGAAAAAAAAGAAUUCUGAUGCAAUUGAUCAUUUUUCUUCUUCAUUUCAUGAUGCUGCCACUUUAUUAGUGGAAAAGAUGGGGGCCAUUGGCGAACAAAUCAAUAGGAGUAUUGCCUCCGAUGUGGUAGUUCAACAAAAGUCAGAAGAAUUCCAGAUCAUCCAAGAAAAAGCUACAAAUUUAUAUUCAACCUUAUGUGAAAUAGAAGGUUUAACAGUGGAUGAGCGGUAUCGAGCAUUGAGUAAAAUUCCAGAUCAUCCAACUCAAAUGCUCGUUUUCUUUAGUUUACCUUCUGAUGUGUGGUUGGAAUGGGUCAGAAGAUUUCUUGCUGACCAUUAAACUUCUUAUUUCUGUUGAUGAUAUUUUCGUAACUUUUUUUGUUUGUAAUAUUUGGGACGGUAUGUCAUUACAAUCUUCUAACUUUUUUAUGUUGUAAAAUUGUAUAACAUAUGGAUUAUGACAUAAAAUUUCAUGAAUUUCAUUUAA